AUACAGAGGGUGCGAGCGUUAAUCGGAAUUACUGGGCGUAAAGCGCGCGUAGGCGGUUACAUAAGUCGGGUGUGAAAUCCCUGGGCUCAACCUGGGAAUUGCAUUCGAUACUGCAUGGCUAGAGUAUGGUAGAGGGAAGUGGAAUUUCCGGUGUAGCGGUGAAAUGCGUAGAUAUCGGAAGGAACACCAGUGGCGAAGGCGACUUCCUGAGCCAAUACUGACGCUGAGGUGCGAAAGCGUGGGGAGCAAACAGGAUUAGAUACCCCGGUAGUCC
rnacentral:rRNA from 1 species